GUUGGCAGCUAGCUCUCUGCAACUCUCACAUGGUCACCCACUGAAGCUAAGCAGGGCUGCUCCCGGUCAGUACCUGGAUGGGAGACCACAUGGGAAAGCUAGGUUGCUUUCAGGU
rnacentral:rRNA from 1 species